rnacentral:rRNA from 1 species
UCGAGGAUCUUCGGCAAUGGGCGCAAGCCUGACCGAGCGACGCCGCGUGUGCGAUGAAGGCCUUCGGGUUGUAAAGCACUGUCGAGGGGGAGGAAAGCCGCAAGGUCUGACCUAUCCCUGGAGGAAGGACGGGCUAAGUUCGUGCCAGCAGCCGCGGUAAGACGAACCGUCCUAACGUUGUUCGGAAUCACUGGGCUUAAAGGGCGCGUAGGCGGGCCAGCAAGUCCGGGGUGAAAUCUUUCGGCUUAACCGGAAAAGUGCCUUGGAUACUGCUGGUCUAGAGGGAGGUAGGGGCAUGUGGAACUUCCGGUGGAGCGGUGAAAUGCGUUGAUAUCGGAAGGAACGCCGGUGGCGAAAGCGACGUGCUGGAUCUCUUCUGACGCUGAGGCGCGAAAGCCAGGGGAGCAAACGGGAUUAGAUACCCCCGUAGUCC